rnacentral:tRNA from 1 species
GGAAGGGUCGCAUAGCUGGUCUAGUGCGCCGCACUCGAAAUGCGGUAUGCCGCAAGGCAUCGUGAGUUCGAAUCUCACCCCUUCCGCCA